GAUUGGCAGCGUAGAACAUGGCCAGGAGGCCAGGACUAUCACAUUGGAGCAUACUCAGGUUGCAUUUGGUUCCCUUCCAGAAACCAGAUUUUUGUAAGAGCAGUCACUCCGGUUUGUGUAACGGACAUUUGAAAU